GUACCAUAUUGAUUCAUGAAAAUGGUUCAUUUUUCUCUAAACUAAUGUCAUACCAUAUUAAUCUGAGUUCGAGUCAAAAGAAGUUGCUCAGUAUCGGUGCUAGGCAAAUUAAUCAUAUGAUCUACUAUUAUAGUAUGUACUAUAUAUCACUACUUCCAUAUCUUAAUAUAGAAGUGGGUCUACAGUUUAGCUGAAUCACCUUCUUGUCAAUUCUUACGGCUAGAAUUGUUUUUGUAUUUUGAUUUUUGGG
rnacentral:lncRNA from 1 species